AGGAUGAACGCUGGCGGCGUGCUUAACACAUGCAAGUCGAACGGAAGUUUUAAAAGGAAGUUUUCGGAUGGAAUUUUAAAACUUUAGUGGCGGACGGGUGAGUAACGCGUGAGUAACCUGCCCUUAAGAGGGGGGAUAACACACCGAAAGGUGUGCUAAUACCGCAUAACAUACAUUUGCCGCAUGACAGAUGUAUCAAAGAUUUAUCGCUUAAGGAUGGACUCGCGUCUGAUUAGAUAGUUGGUGAGGUAACGGCUCACCAAGUCGACGAUCAGUAGCCGAACUGAGAGGUUGAUCGGCCACAUUGGGACUGAGACACGGCCCAGACUCCUACGGGAGGCAGCAGUGGGGAAUAUUGCGCAAUGGGGGCAACCCUGACGCAGCAACGCCGCGUGAAGGAUGAAGGUCUUCGGAUCGUAAACUUUUGUCUUAUGGGAAGAACAAGGACGGUACCAUAGGAGGAAGCCACGGCUAACUACGUG
rnacentral:rRNA from 1 species